rnacentral:rRNA from 1 species
AUGCAGAAGCUACCGGACACCAUCUGGCAACUAAAGCACCUCGGGUAUCUUAAGAUAUCAGAAUUCACUGGGCUGGUAACUCUGCCUGAGUCAUUGAGGGAUCACAUAAAUCUGAUCCACAUCGAUUUAUCAGGCUGCUCUAGGCUACUGAACCUACCAGAGUCGUUUGGGAAGCUAAUCCGUUUAGUGCAUGCCAACUUGUCAGGCUGCUCUGGACUUGCAACACUUGCUGAAUCAUUUGGAGAUCUUAUUAACUUGUCCCAUGUCAAUCUGUCGCGCUGCCAUGGAUUGGCAGAGCUUCCAGAACCGCUCCAGAAGCUCGGCAAACGGGUACACCUGAAUUUAUCAUUCCGGUCUUGUUUUGAAGGGAUUGGGAAACGCCUUGGUGGCCUCACCACUCUGGAGCAUUUGAACUUAUCAAACCCUUGCUGUCAUCUUGCUCAGCACCGUUCCGAUCUCCAAGGGCUAAAUGAUGGUUUAUGCAAGCUCACCAAACUCCGGCAUCUGAACUUGUCAGCGUGCCUGAAUCCUAUCUUUUACUACCAUGGAGAGUCACAAGUAGAGAAUCUCAAAUACCUUGGAGAGUGUGUCAGCGGUCUUUCCAGCCUAGAACAUUUGGACCUGUCUCAUCACACAUUUCUUUUUGGUCUACCUGCGAGUCUAGGUGAGCUCAACAAGCUAAAAACACUGAAUCUCUCAGGCUGCAUCAGACUCAAGAAGGUUGGUGAAAUGAAGUCUCUCAAGUUUAUAGAUCUGAUGAAGUGUCGGGGCCUAGAGAAUUGCCAGUUUGUGGUUCGCAUUGUCGAUGAUGACGUUGCAUAUAGCAGCAGCAACAUUGUUCAGCUGGAGGGUGUAAAUUGCCAAGAGCUCCAGGUAAGCUGCCUAGAAAAGGUCAAGUCUAGAGUGGAAGCACAGAGUGUCAAAUUGGUGGAGAAACAGAAGCUUGAAAAGUUGAAGCUUUCUUGGACUUUGGACUCUGUCCGUCGAGUGGAAUUAGUGCCACCACCUAAUCUGCAGUGCCUUGAGGUUAAUGGUUAG